ACUACCAUAUUUUCCGCAGUAUAGGGCGCACUGGAUUAUAAGGCGCACUGUCAAUGAAUGGUCUAUUUUUGAACUUUUUUCAUAUAUAAAGUGCACCAGACUAUAAGGCGCAUUACACGAAGCAAAACAGUCAGAUAAGUCAGUCAGUCAAACUUUAUUCAACGCAUUCACAAUAACUCUCAACAUUGUUCAAACGUUAAUGAGCGUAUUCACAAUAACUCCCAACCUUGUUCAGUUGUAACACGUAAAAAAAAAAACAGUCUGAUACCGCUAAAUCAAACGUUAUCUGAUACCGCUAAAAUUAAUCCAUGUAUAAAGCGCUCCGGAUUAUAAGGCGCACCGUCGUUUUUUGAGAAAAUUAAAGGUUUUUAAGUGCGCCUUAUAGUCCGGAAAAUAC